UACGGAGGGGGUUAGCGUUGUUCGGAAUUACUGGGCGUAAAGCGCGCGUAGGCGGACCAUUAAGUCGGGGGUGAAAUCCCGGGGCUCAACCCCGGAACUGCCCUCGAUACUGGCGGUCUUGAGUUCGAGAGAGGUGAGUGGAAUUCCGAGUGUAGAGGUGAAAUUCGUAGAUAUUCGGAGGAACACCAGUGGCGAAGGCGGCUCACUGGCCCGAUACUGACGCUGAGGUGCGAAAGCGUGGGGAGCAAACAGG
rnacentral:misc_RNA from 1 species